rnacentral:rRNA from 1 species
UACGUAGGGACCAAGCGUUGUUCGGAUUUACUGGGCGUAAAGGGCGCGUAGGCGGCUUUGUAAGUCACUUGUGAAAUCUCCGGGCUUAACUCGGAAAGGUCAACUGAUACUGUGCGACUAGAGUGCGGAAGGGGCAACUGGAAUUCUCGGUGUAGCGGUGAAAUGCGUAGAUAUCGUGAGGAACACCAGAGGCGAAGGCGGCUACCUGGACAAUUGCUGACGCUCAGGCACGAAAGCGUGGGGAGCAAAAGGG